rnacentral:rRNA from 1 species
GACGUAGUUGAUCAGUGGACUCAGGACACGCUGGCGGCGUGCCUAACACAUGCAAGUCGAACGGGGUAGAUUCCUUCGGGGAUCUACUUAGUGGCGGACGGGUGAGUAACGCGUGAGCAACCUGCCUUUCAGAGGGGGACAACAGUUGGAAACGACUGCUAAUACCGCAUAACGUAUAUUUGGGACAUCCCUGAUAUACCAAAGGAGCAAUCCGCUGAAAGAUGGGCUCGCGUCCGAUUAGAUAGUUGGUGAGGUAACGGCUCACCAAGUCGACGAUCGGUAGCCGGACUGAGAGGUUGAACGGCCACAUUGGGACUGAGACACGGCCCAGACUCCUACGGGAGGCAGCAGUGGGGGAUAUUGCACAAUGGAGGAAACUCUGAUGCAGCAACGCCGCGUGAGGGAAGAAGGUUUUCGGAUUGUAAACCUCUGUUUUUAGUGAAGAAACAAAUGACGGUAGCUAAAGAGGAAGCCACGGCUAACUACGUG